rnacentral:ncRNA from 1 species
AGGAGCCGUAUGAGAUGAAAACCUCAUGUACGGUUUUGGAACAGAGAUUUUUUGAAUAGAAUGAACGACCGUAAUGGAUGUUGGCUCAAUCCAAAGGAAAUUAUGGGAGAGCAAUACUACCUGUAAUAACCCAAUGAACUUAU